CAGCCGCCGCGGGAAUACAGAGGGUGCGAGCGUUAAUCGGAUUUACUGGGCGUAAAGAGCUCGUAGGCGGUUUGUCGCGUCUGCUGUGAAAUCCCGAGGCUCAACCUCGGGCUUGCAGUGGGUACGGGCAGACUAGAGUGCGGUAGGGGAGAUUGGAAUUCCUGGUGUAGCGGUGGAAUGCGCAGAUAUCAGGAGGAACACCGAUGGCGAAGGCAGAUCUCUGGGCCGUAACUGACGCUGAGGAGCGAAAGCGUGGGGAGCGAACAGGAUUAGAUACCCCUGUAGUCCCUGUCUCUUAUAC
rnacentral:rRNA from 1 species